UACGGGGGGGCGAAGCGCUUGUUCGGUGAAUUACUGGGCGUAAAGGGCUCGUAGGUGGCCAACUAAGUCAGACGUGAAAUCCCCAGGCUUAACCUGGGAACUGCGUCUGAUACUGGAUUGGCGUUGAAUUCGGGGAGAGGGAUGCAGAAGUUCCGAGGUGGUAGCGGUGAAAUGACGUAGAUAUCGAAGAGGAACACCUGAGGUGAAGACGGGUUGCUGGGCUGACACUGACGCUGAGGCGCGAAAGCUAGGGGAGCAAACGGG
rnacentral:rRNA from 1 species